CACAGACAUAACAAAACCCUAGCACCUCUCCUCCACCACUCUCCUCUUCCUCCCACCACCGCCGCCGUCUUCUUCCUCCUCUGACCACCCCUCUCUUACACCACUCUCCUCUAUUUCAAUUCCAAUCUCAAAACUGCGAUCUUCAUCUAAAACAUUCAAGACGUACAGAGAGGGUGACGGCGGGUUGAUUAGGGAUGGAAGGGCGGAGCGGUUCAACACUGGUGGUAGUUUCACGGCAGGCAGAUCUGGUGGUACGGUGGGCGACGAUUGUGUCGGCGGUGAAGAUGAGUUGAUGAUUUUCAUACAAUUUCUUCAAGGUAUUUGGAGGUUUGGAGAUGGCAGAUGUGGUAGUAGUGAAUAAGGUGGUUGGGCUGGGUGAGGAAUUAGAUAAUCAGUGGCUAAUAAUAGUUUUCACCCCGUCAUAAAAUCAACUUUGUAC
rnacentral:lncRNA from 1 species